rnacentral:rRNA from 1 species
GACGAACGCUGGCGGCGUGCUUAACACAUGCAAGUCGAGCGGUAAGGCCCUUUCGGGGGUACGACGAGCGGCGAACGGGUAGAGUAACACGUGGGUGACCUCGCCCUCCAGCUCUGGGAGUAAGCCUCGGGAAACCGGGGUACUAAUACCGGAUAUGACUCCAUGACGCAUGUUGUGGGGUGGAAAGACCUUGUGCGGCUGAGGAUGGGCCCGGCGGCCUAUCAGCUUGUUGGUGGGGUGAUGGCCUACCAAGGCGACGACGGGUAGCCGGCCUGAGAGGGCGACCGGCCACACUGGGACUGAGACACGGCCCAGACUCCUACGGGAGGCAGCAGUGGGGAAUCUUGCGCAAUGGGCGAAAGCCUGACGCAGCGACGCCGCGUGA